GGCACCACACAGGAGUGGAGCUUGCGGACUUAAUUUGACUCAACGCGGGGAAACUCACUUGGUCAGGACACUGUAAGGAUUGACAGAUUGAAAGCUCUUUCUUGAUUCGGUGGAUGGUGGUGCAUGGCACGUUCUUAGUUGGUGGAGUGAUUCUCGUCUGGUUAAUUCCGAUAACAAACGAGACUCUAUCUUGCUAACUAGCUCGCAGAUUUAUUACUGACUGUAGAGCUUCUUACGAAGGACAGGUGGAUUUAACCAUACGAGAUUGAGCAAUAACAGAGUCUGUGAUGCCCUUAGAUGUCCAAGGCUGACACGCGUGCUACUCUGAAGUCAAUCAUCAUGUGAACCUAUCUCGGAGGAGUGUGGGGAACCCUCUGAAACGGCUACGUGCUCGGGAUCGGGGUAAGUAAAUCCCCAUGAACGCGGAAUCCCUAGUACGCUGCGGAGUCCCCCUCCUCCCCGCCUGAUUUACCGUCCCGUGUCCCUUUGGAUACCCCUUCCGGCCCCAGUCCGCCUACU
rnacentral:rRNA from 1 species